GCGCUUGUGGUUUAGUGGUAAAAUUCACCGUUCCCAACGGUGAGCCCCGGGUUCGAUUCCCGGCGGGCGCA
rnacentral:tRNA from 1 species